GCCAAUCAGCAGCAGACCCUCCCUCCCAGACCCUCCCACCUCCUGGACAGCUCACUAAGAAUGCAGCUUCACAAUGGAUGCUGUCCAGGAGGUGGGAGGGUCUGGGAGGGAGGGUCUGCUGCUGACUGUG